GCACUGAUGAAAAGUCCCAUAGUAGGACGAAACGGCCGUCCAGUGC
rfam:Schistosoma mansoni strain Puerto Rico chromosome 4, complete genome